UCUUUCGUGUUCUUUUUUUUUUUUUUUUUUUUUUCUCUCUCUCU
rnacentral:ribozyme from 1 species